UGAGCCGGGUCCAGACGGCGCCGAGGGCCCAGCGCCGGGCGGCGGCGGAGCAUUUCGUUCCGCUCCGCUCUGCUCCCGCGCGGCUUUGCACCGCAAACCUGCCCCGGUUACGAGACCUCAGUGCUGGCUUAGAACAGAGCGCGUGAAGUAUUUGAAGAAGUUGGUUCUUUGGACAGCCGGGCCAGCAGGUGGCAUGGUGGUUAAGGUGCUGGACACUCCCAUAUGGCCGACCACGUCAGCAGCUGUGGAGUCACGUUGUAUGAAGCCUUGGAUGAACGUACGCCACACGGAACAUCCCUGUCCUCUGCCAGCAGAGUAUUGGAUCUGGGUGAGCAGGGUGUCAAACAGGAGGACUGAGCUUCCCGCUGCAGAGCAGCGCCCCACUCCGCUCUGACCCCGCCACUGCCUUACCUGUAAUCUGACAACUUCUGGCUGCAUCCCUGCACUUCCUGAAGCAGACAGUAGCCUAUGUGGCCCGUGCACAACUCACCCUCUUUUGGUUUAAUAGUGGAACCCUUUAGUUCUUAGGUUUUUGCUAAUGCUUACUCUGCCGUUGGUCUCCUGUGAGGCCGCUUUCUUGGGAAAGUGUCGCUGUACGCACCUGUGACAUUGCAGCCUGUGUCAGAGAGCACUGUCUUCUACCUAAGUUUGAUCUGCCCUGUGUUGUAGACCCUUGCCCAACACAUCUGAAUUUGUUUCAUUGUAAAACCUACAUCUUGUCCUUACAUGCUGCCAAACAGGGCUUUGUGCCCAAAUCUACCAAAGCUUCUCUUCCUGUGAUAUAACUGGACAUUCUGCUCAACAGCUUUUACCUGAACUGUCCUGAAUAAGUCUCUAUUUCGCAAUCAGAAAAAUGAUUACAAAAAAAUAAAGUUUGGUCCUUUUGUU